rnacentral:tRNA from 1 species
GCGGAAGUGGCGGAAUUGGCAGACGCGCUAGGCUCAGGACCUAGUGACCUUUAUCGGUCGUGGGGGUUCAAGUCCCCCCUUCCGCACCA